rnacentral:misc_RNA from 1 species
AGGCCCAGAGGUAUGAUGUGCGCUUUUGAUGAUAUAUCAUGGUUGCAAUGCCCUUUUUAAUAAUUCAAGAUGGCCUCAAGUUAUUAGCCUGAGCUCAGGCUUGAUGUGUGAUUACUGAAUGGUAGGAUAAGCGAGGAAGCUUUGGUUUGGUAAGGAUUUACAAGGCUUUGCAUCAUGGUUGUUGUCUGGCUACUUUGUCUAUGGGUUGAAAAGGAUUUGUUUUUCUUUUUUUCUUUUCAUAAUUCUAAUUUUUGUUGUUCG